UUGACCUCGGAUCAGGUAGGGAUACCCGCUGAACUUAAGCAUAUCAAUAAGCGGAGGAAAAGAAACCAACAGGGAUUGCCU
rnacentral:rRNA from 1 species